GGCCCAAAGUGGUGAGUAACAAAUUUCUUAUUUAAAUGAAGUUUGUCACUUGUUAGGGAAUGAGAGUGAUUCCCCUUUGAUGUGUUUGUUUUCUCUUUUUAAGCAGAAGAAAGUUUAGGCUGACCAGGAUCCUGAAGUGAGGAACAGUCCCUCUCCCAUUUAACAGCAUUCAUGAGCAGAAAGUGCGGUAGUGUAGUGGUUGAAUAAGGAGGUUGCUGACUCUGCAUCGUUGAAGAUGGUGGAAUAAGCAUUUGGAGGAAGCUGGACAUAUUGGAUUGAAACAACAUGCCAACAAUGCUGGAAUGGAGGGGUCUAUGUGGUCCUUCGUGUUUAUGGGUCCCAUCGGUUGUUCGCGUCACGGCCACCUUUGACGGUCAGUCUGGAGUGUUU